rnacentral:rRNA from 1 species
UACGUAGGGUGCGAGCGUUGUCCGGAAUUAUUGGGCGUAAAGAGCUCGUAGGCGGUGUGUCACGUCGGCCGUGAAAACCUGCAGCUUAACUGUGGGCGUGCGGUCGAUACGGGCAUCACUGGAGUUCGGCAGGGGAGACUGGAAUUCCUGGUGUAGCGGUGAAAUGCGCAGAUAUCAGGAGGAACACCGGUGGCGAAAGCGGCCCUCUGGAACGGUACUGACGCUGAGACGCGAAAGCGUGGGGAGCGAACAGG